AACGGACGCUGGCGGCAUGCCUAACACAUGCAAGUCGAACGAGACCUUCGGGUCUAGUGGCGCACGGGUGCGUAACGCGUGGGAACCUGCCCUUAGGUUCGGAAUAACUCCCCGAAAGGGGUGCUAAUACCGGAUAAUGUCUUCGGACCAAAGAUUUAUCGCCUUUGGAUGGGCCCGCGUUGGAUUAGCUAGUUGGUAGGGUAAAAGCCUACCAAGGCGACGAUCCAUAGCUGGUCUGAGAGGAUGAUCAGCCACACUGGGACUGAGACACGGCCCAGACUCCGACGGGAGGCAGCAGUGGGGAAUAUGGGACAAUGGGCGAAAGCCUGAUCCAGCAAGGCCGCGAGAGUGAUGAAGGCCUUAGGGUGGUAAAGCUCUUUUACCCGGGAUGAUAAGGACAGGACCGGGAGAAUAAGCUCCGGCGAACUCCGG
rnacentral:rRNA from 1 species